rnacentral:rRNA from 1 species
CGCAUCUGUGCAUGCAGCAUAUCAAUAAGCGGAGGAAAAGAAACUAACAAGGAUUCCCCUAGUAACGGCGAGUGAAGCGGGAAGAGCUCAAAUUUGAAAUCUUAAAGGGUUUCCCUUUACGAAUUGUAGUUUAAAGAAGUGUUUUCUGUUGAGGUUUUGGUAAAAGUUCUUUGGAAUAGGACAUCAUAGAGGGUGAGAAUCCCGUAUUUGACCUUUACUUUCAACUUUGUGAUACACUUUCAAAGAGUCGGAUUGUUUGGGAAUGCAGUCCAAAAUGGGUGGUAAAUUUCAUCUAAAGCUAAAUAUUGGCGAGAGACCGAUAGCGAACAAGUAGCCGUGAGGGAAAGAUGAAAAGAACUUUGAAAAGAGAGUUAAACAGUACGUGAAAUUGUCAAAAGGGAAGCGUUUGACACCAGUGUUGUUUUUCUGAAAAUCAAUUAAAGAACUGUUUAUGCUAAGCUGUAUAGACUUUAUCAGCUAACUGUUUAGUUUUGAGCUUUUCUUUAAUGCACUUUUCAGUUAACAAGUCAACAUCAAUUUCUUUUGCUGUAAAAAAGCUUGAGGAAGGUGGCUUGAGAUUCGUCUUAAGUGUUUAUAGCCUCUUGCCUACUGCAGUCGGAGAGAUUGAGGUCUGCAGCGUAGAUCCUUCGGGGCUAAAUGCAUUUGUGCUAAGUUAUAGCAUUUUAUAGACAACUUAUUGACUAUGAUUUGUCUUGUAGCUUACUCGCUUAUGUUAUUUUACCUACGCUUAGGAUGUUGAAUCUGUGCGAGACUAC